CUGCUCCAUGAAUUUUAAUAGCCGCAGAAUUUUACUGUGCUAAGGUAGCAUAAUCACUUGUUUCUUAAUUAGAAACUCGAAUGAAAGAUCUUACAUUUAACGCCUCUUUUAAAUUAAACUAAAAAAUUUAUAUUAAAUAUAAAAAUAUAUUUAUAAAAAAAAUAGACAAUAAGACCCUAUCGAACUUUACUACUGUUUAGCUGGGGCAGCAAAUUAAACAAAAUUUUAAUAUAAUUUAAAAAAAAAAAUACCCAAUAAAAUUGAAUUUAAUAAGUUACCGUAGGGAUAACAGCGUAAUUUAUUUUUUAAGCUUUAUCCAAAAAUAAGAUUACGACCUCGAUGUUGAAUUAUAUUUCCCACGGCGCAAUAGCUAAAAAGGAAG
rnacentral:rRNA from 1 species